AUUGAGCGCUGGCGGCAUGCUUUACACAUGCAGGUCGAACGGUAACAGGUCUUCGGAUGCUGACGAGUGGCGAACGGGUGAGUAAUGCAUCGGAAAGUGCCCAGUCGUGGGGGAUAACGCAGCGAAAGCUGCGCUAAUACAGCAUACGAUCUAUGGAUGAAAGCGGGGGACCGUAAGGCCUCGCGCGAUUGGAGCGGCCGAUGUCAGAUUAGGUAGUCGGUGGGGUAAAGGCCCACCAAGCCAACGAUCUGUAGCUGGUCUGAGAAGAAGACCAGCCACACUGGCACUGAGACACGGCCCAGACUCCUACGGGAGGCAGCAGUGGGGAAUUUUGGACAAUGGGCGCAAGCCGGAUCCAGCAAUGCCGCGUGCAGGGAGAAGGCCUUCGGGUUGUAAACUGCUUUUGUACGGAACGAAACGGCUCUCUCUAAUACAGAGGGCUAAUGACGGUACCGUAAGAAUAAGCACCGGCUAACUACGUGCCAGCCGCCGCAGUAA
rnacentral:rRNA from 1 species